rnacentral:sRNA from 1 species
UCUCUCUCUCUCUAUUAUUGUGACCUUCAUCAAACACUGUGGUUGGGGCUCAUUGUUGGGUGCGGUGCCAUAGUUGGGCGUUGAGUAGCUUAAUCGGGCUUAAUCUCGAACCAUCAUCUUCGUCGCUGGAACCGUAGGAGUCCCUGCCUUCAAUCGUGGUGUUUCAGUCGUGGUGCCGUUGUGGGGUAAUCGUGUUCUCCGUCAACGCCGCCGUGAUGUUCCAGUUGCAGAGGAACCCUAGGACUGUUGUUCUCGCACUCUGAUUUUGGGUCGCCGUCAUUCAGUCUCGGGGAGAA